GCAGACACAUUCCAGCCAAUCAGCAGCAGACCCUCCCUCCCAGACUCUCCCACCUCCUGGACAGCUCACUAAGAAUGCAGCUUCAAAAUGGAUGCUGUCCAGGAGUUGGGAGGGUCUGGGAGAGAGGGUCUGCUGCAGAUUGACUGGAAUGUGUCUG
rnacentral:miRNA from 1 species